CUGAGUGGUUCUAAUCCAUUGGAUACAUCUGAUUCAGGAUUUAAUGACAGACCCAGAGGUGUAAAUCAACUUUCGCUAUCCCAUGAUCUAGCUGGUCACUGUGUUAUCAGCCUCGAAACAUCUGGUCUCUUGUGCGCUGAUGAAGACGAGUUGGAUGCGGAUGAAGACAGCAGGCCUGCUGCGCUAGGGUGUGAACUCGAUACAGUAUUCUUGAUCCCUGAUAAAGACGAUUUGGGUGCGACGCUCGGGGAUCUGUAUUAGACGAUGCGACAAGCAGUAAAUCUACAUCUGGUACAGAAUUCUUACCAUCUUACGACCAUGCCUAUUGUGUGGAUACUAAGAAGAGACGUUAUAGCGAGUCUGAAGAUCUAGCCAAAACUGCGAGGCCUGCUAAGCGUUUUACUGGGGUAACGCGAGUGAUACGGGAAAACAACGCACACGAUGACGCAAUAGGUCUUGGAGACGCAUCUAUCAACAGGGGGAUUACACAUUCAAAGGACUACCAACCUAUUGUUAAUAUUCAAUCAAAGGACAUUAACCGUGUGGAUUUAUGGAGUGAUACAGAACUCAAUUUUGACGACCAAUCUGAUGCGACUUUACUAGAGGAUGCGGUUGUCGACCCGUGUGAACUACAUGAAAGGUCAGAUUCGUUGAAUGUUUCUGAACCGGGGGUGGCUGGACCCUCUGCAGGUUUAGCAGUGUGUGAUAUAAACUCAGGUCGUUAUAAUUACACAGAUUUAGAAUCAGCAUUGGAUAGUGUUGCGCUGAGACUGAAUGAUGCUAAAUCUGUGGCUCGUAGAGCUACGGAAGUAAUAGAUCCACGCGACAUAGUGCUAGAUCUGCUUAUUGGUGCUGUGGAAACUCUGCUGAAGAUUAGCAGGGAUCAUUUAAACAAAUUUGAAGCUGUUAUCGAUGGCAUACUGAAAUGAAAUGUUACUUUAAUGAUGAUCUGUUGAUCUGAAUGGUGUUAACCUCGGUGUGAUAGAUUGUUUAUAAGGUUUAAGUUUUUUUAUUUGUUGUUGUUUUUUACGGCUAUA